rnacentral:rRNA from 1 species
GAUGAACGCUGGCGGCGUGCCUAAUACAUGCAAGUCGAGCGAACGGACGAGAAGCUGGCUUCUCUGAUGUUAGCGGCGGACGGGUGAGUAACACGUGGAUAACCUACCUAUAAGACUGGGAUAACUUCGGGAAACCGUAGCUAAUACCGGAUAAUAUUUUGAACCGCAUGGUUCAAAAGUGAAAGACGGUCUUGCUGUCACUUAUAGAUGGAUCCGCGCUGCAUUAGCUAGUUGGUAAGGUAACGGCUUACCAAGGCAACGAUGCAUAGCCGACCUGAGAGGGUGAUCGGCCACACUGGAACUGAGACACGGUCCAGACUCCUACGGGAGGCAGCAGUAGGGAAUCUUCCGCAAUGGGCGAAAGCCUGACGGAGCAACGCCGCGUGAGUGAUGAAGGUUUUCGGAUCGUAAAACUCUGUUAUUAGGGAAGAACAUAUGUGUAAGUAACUGUGCACAUCUUGACGGUACCUAAUCAGAAAGCCACGGCUAACUACGUG